UUUUUUUUCCUUUUAAUGGUGGUAUUACUACCAUGUUGUGCUCAUUCCAUUGGGGGAAGGAAGACUAAGAAAGAUAUGCCAUUUUGGUCUAUAAAUAUGCUCUUUAUCAUAUCCUUGAAUAUCUUUUUUCUCAUUAUUUCUUUGUCUUUACUUUGAUAUCAAUCCUUGAAUAUUUAUAUAACAUACAAUAUAUAACAUACAACACAAUAUAC
rnacentral:lncRNA from 1 species